GAGCCGCAGCGAAAGCAAGUCUGAAUAGGGCGUUUGAGUAUGUAGUCGUAGACCCGAAACCAUGUGAUCUACCCAUGUCCAGGUUGAAGGUGCGGUAAAACGCACUGGAGGACCGAACCCACGUACGUUGAAAAGUGCGGGGAUGAGGUGUGGGUAGCGGAGAAAUUCCAAACGAACUUGGAGAUAGCUGGUUCUCUCCGAGAUAGCAUUCGGGCUAGCCUCGGACAUGAGAAUGAUGGCAGUAGAGCACUGUUUGGCCUAGGGGCCCCUGCCUGGUUACCGAUCUCAGCUACACUCAG
rnacentral:rRNA from 1 species